rnacentral:rRNA from 1 species
GUAGGUGGGCAAGCGUUGUCCGGAAUUAUUGGGCGUAAAGCGCGCGCAGGGCGGUCCUUUAAGUCUGAUGUGAAAGCCCGCGGCUCAACCGUGGAGGGUCAUUGGAAACUGGGGGACUUGAGUACAGAAGAGGAAAGCGGAAUUCCAAGUGUAGCGGUGAAAUGCGUAGAGAUUUGGAGGAACACCAGUGGCGAAGGCGGCUUUCUGGUCUGUAACUGACGCUGAGGCGCGAAAGCGUGGGGGGCAAACAGGAUUAGAUACCCUGGUAGUCCACGCCGUAAACGAUGAGUGCUAAGUGUUAGGGGGUUUCCGCCCCUUAGUGCUGCAGCUAACGCAUUAAGCACUCCGCCUGGGGAGUACGGCCGCAAAGGCUG